AGUGAACGCUGGCGGUAGGCCUAACACAUGCAAGUCGAACGGCAGCACAGUAAGAGCUUGCUCUUACGGGUGGCGAGUGGCGGACGGGUGAGGAAUACAUCGGAAUCUACUUUUUCGUGGGGGAUAACGUAGGGAAACUUACGCUAAUACCGCAUACGACCUACGGGUGAAAGCAGGGGAUCUUCCGACCUUGCGCGAUUGAAUGAGCCGAUGUCGGAUUAGCUAGUUGGCGGGGUAAAGGCCCACCAAGGCGACGAUCCGUAGCUGGUCUGAGAGGAUGAUCAGCCACACUGGAACUGAGACACGGUCCAGACUCCUACGGGAGGCAGCAGUGGGGAAUAUUGGACAAAGGGCGCAAGCCUGAUCCAGCCAUACCGCGUGGGUGAAGAAGGCCUUCGGGUUGUAAAGCCCUUUUGUUGGGAAAGAAAAGCAGCAGGUUAAUACCCCGCUGUUCUGACGGUACCCAAAGAAUAAGCACCGGCUAACUUCGUG
rnacentral:rRNA from 1 species